UGAGGAAUAUUGGUCAAUGGACGAAAGUCUGAACCAGCCAUGCCGCGUGCAGGAUGAAUGCCCUAUGGGUUGUAAACUGCUUUUAUGUAGGAAUAAACCCCCUCUCGUGAGAGGGGCUGAAGGUACUACAAGAAUAAGGACCGGCUAACUCCGUGCCAGCAGCCGCGGUAAUACGGAGGGUCCAAGCGUUAUCCGGAUUUAUUGGGUUUAAAGGGUCCGCAGGCGGGAAAAUAAGUCAGUGGUGAAAUCCUAUCGCUUAACGAUAGAACUGCCAUUGAUACUGUUUUUCUUGAGUGUAAUUGAAGUGGGCGGAAUGUGUCAUGUAGCGGUGAAAUGCAUAGAUAUGACACAGAACACCGAUUGCGAAGGCAGCUCACUAAAUUAUUACUGACGCUCAGGG
rnacentral:rRNA from 1 species